rnacentral:lncRNA from 1 species
ACACUUCUAUCCCAAACACAAGACUCCCCAAGCUCUGCCUGAUGUUUUGCAAUGGGUCUGUGCAUCUGCCUCCAUCUGCUGCUCAAUAAAGCCGCUCAGGAAUAAGGUAAAUGGGAGCCAGAAAGACACCUAAGGAAUGCAAACUUUUCUACAAUCCUAUAUGACCUAUCACUUGAAAUCAUCUGAUCAAGUACAAUUAUGUUUCCAGGGUAGAGGCUGGACAGUGAGUGCUU